CUAGUGGUUAGCAUAGAUUGGCUGGAAAUGGAGCUAGCUGGUUCCCACAGAAGCGGAGAUGCACAUGCUUCAUAGAGAAACACCAAACCCCAAGCCUGACAAGCUACCCUGAAGACUGCUCCUCUCUGGUGGCCACGGUCUGGAUGGCCCAAUAACACUUCCUGAACUAUCUGGACUAUAGAUGCUGAGUGGCUUGGCUGCUGGUGCUCAGGAGACACAGAGUUGAGCCAUCUGAUUGCAAUCCGUUGACAUUCUAUU